rnacentral:rRNA from 1 species
AAGCGCGCGUAGGUGGUUUGUUAAGUUGGAUGUGAAAUCCCCGGGCUCAACCUGGGAACUGCAUUCAAAACUGACUGACUAGAGUAUGGUAGAGGGUGGUGGAAUUUCCUGUGUAAGCGGUGAAAUGCGUAGAUAUAGGAAGGAACACCAGUGGCGAAGGCGACCACCUGGACUGAUACUGACACUGAGGUGCGAAAGCGUGGGGAGCAAACAGGAUUAGAUACCCCAGU